UACGGGAGGCAGCAGUGGGGAAUAUUGCACAAUGGGCGCAAGCCUGAUGCAGCCAUGCCGCGUGUAUGAAAAAGGCCUUCGGGUUGUAAAGUACUUUCAGUCGUGAGGAAGGUGUUAAGGUUAAUAACCUUAGCAAUUGACGUUAGCGACAGAAGAAGCACCGGCUAACUCCGUGCCAGCAGCCGCGGUAAUACGGAGGGUGCGAGCGUUAAUCGGAAUUACUGGGCGUAAAGGGCACGCAGGCGGUUAAUUAAGUUGGAUGUGAAUCCCCGGGCUUAACCUGGGAAUGGCAUUCAAGACUGGUUAGCUAGAGUCUUGUAGAGGGGGUAGAAUUCCGAUGUGUAGCGGUGAAAUGCGUAGAGAUGUGGAGGAAUACCGGUGGCGAAGGCGGCCCCUGGACAAAGACUGACGCUCAUGUGCGAAAGCGUGGGGAGCAAACAGGGAUUAGAUACC
rnacentral:rRNA from 1 species